CAGCAGCCUCACGGACUGUGUUGUAUGUACAGCAAGGGAAGGGAAUGAAGAAACUGCAGAGCAAAAAUCUGGAUUCACAAGUCCAUUUCAGGCAGAUUCUGAGCUGUAAGAAAUGUCUCUUUGGCUCUCUGUUAAGAGACUAGGAGAGUAAUCUGGAGGGCCAAGUAUAAUGAGAGUUCACAAUGUAUGACUGUUCUUAUGGAAGCCUGGUAGAACAUCUUCAAUCAAAAUAUGUAAUUACAUUCUGUCAUUCUGCCUCCAUGCCUUGUUACAAUCACUGAGGACUUGGAGUCACAGAAACUCUGACACUCAUAGAGGAUUCAUCCUGUUUGCCUUCUGGCAGCUGCUUGCAGUUAGGCUGCAUCUACAUAAAAAUGUAUCCAAAGCUGGGCCCAGAUUCUGGCUUUUCCAGUGGGAUGUUGACUCCACUACCUCCAUGGGCAAUCCAUUCCAAUGUUUAUCAAACCUUUUUGUGAAGAAAAUUUUCCUGAUGUCCAAGCUGAACCUCCCCUGAUGCAGAUUGAAGCUGUGUCCAUUUGUCCUGUCACUGGUUGUCUGGUUGCUUAACUCCCACCUUGCUACAACUUCCUUUCAGGUACUUGUGGAGAGGGAUAAAGUCUUCCCUGAGCCUCCUUUUCUCCAGGCUAAACAUCCCCAGCUCCCUCAGCUGUUCCUCAUAGGACUUAUGUUCCAGCCCCUUCCCCAGAUCCAUUGCCCUUCUCUGGACAUGCUCCAACAUCUCGAUGUCCUUGCCAUAAGGUGCCCAAAGCUGAACACAGUUCCUGAGGUGUGGCCUCACCAUGCCCAGUGCAUGGGAACAGCCCUGAUGCUUCUGGCCACACUAUUUCUGAUGCAGGCCACUGGCCUUCUUGGCCACCUGAGCACUGAUGGUUCAUGUUCAGCUGCUAUUGACCAGUACUCAAGGUCAUUUUCCACUGGGCUGCUUUCCUGACAUUUUUCCCUCAGUCUGUAACACUGCAUGGGGUGAUUCCCUGAUUACCAUGAUAUCUGCUUAGGCUGAACUCUUUUUGUCUUUAGAAAGGAUGAGAGAGAAUUUUUACUAUCUCACCCCCACAGAAAUAUACAUUUUCUGAAGUGGAAACAGCAUUAUAUCCUUCUUAUCUUGCCUUACAACUACUUCUCAGACAACAUGGUAUUAAGCAUUUGAUCCCAUUAGCAAUAAAAGAACUUGGAACUUGGCUGCAAAACACAGUGUUGGAGAGUCAAGCCAGAGAGGUUUAUUUGCCAGUUCCAGCAAGUGUCUAGUAGGACAAUGACUAGAUUUAUGCUACCGGCUGCUAGUCAGAAGGUAUGCGAUUUGGGACAGUACUGAAGCUACUCUGUCUUGCAGACCAUACUGACACAACUAAGGAAACUCCCACCAUCUCUCUGAUUCCAUAGGGUAAGUGGUGGUACACAUCUGUUCUACACUUAGAAGUGCUUAGCUACAGCUAAAUACAAACUAGGCCAGGUCAAUGUUCUUGGGUGAGAAUAGCUGCCCAAACAAUUCAAGUUGGUUGGCACCACAGAAACACUAUGUGCCUAAUAUGAUCUAGUCUAGCUGUAUAACAUCUUCUGCUCUGUGAAGCAGAAAAUAUUGGAGACUGCUUUCUUAAAUGGUACAGCAAAUUACCCAUAUGUUUCCUGAACAUUUGCUGAUACAGAACAUAACUGUGGUAACUGUUUAAAAAAAAAAUCUUUCAGUUUGGUAGCCAGUUCUAGGAUUAAAGCAGAAGAUGCUGAACCCAGUAUCCACACUGGCACUUGUAAGUGCUGCUCACAGAAUGCAGAAUCUGCUUCAGACGGGAGGCUGUUCACAGCUGCAGAGGUGUCCCUGCCAGCCAGCACCACAUUGUGCAAACAGCUGCAUCUACCUGACCAUGUGCCUGCACUAUCAAAAUCUCUCCCAAGCCAACUGAAGACAAACCACAAGCCUGAAGGAAAAAUCCAGGAUUUCCCAGAGAUGCUAAUUAGACUGAGCAAGCUGAAACAGCUCCAACUGAUCAACCUCACAAAAAAUAUUUGCAACAUUUAUAGCUCUGUGUGCUUUGUAGAAAGCUGUUAGGAAGCUACUCCAGAGCCUGGUCUAUCACACCUGCCUUUUAUUUAUUUCCAGCAUGAGUUUCUCAAAAGUGGUAGAUGAGCAAAAAUAAAUAUAUAUAUUAUAUAUUAUAUUAUAAUAUAUAUAUAUUUAUAUAAUGUAUAUUUUCUGCUAUGGUAAGUGCCAUUAAGUCUGCUGUUUGAUGAGGUUUUCUCCUGAGCAUUGCUAGCAUGUUUUGAACCCCAUCUCUCUGGCUUGCUCAGUGCUGUGUAAAACUGUUUUACAGAAAAUAGUUUUGCAAAUAUUUUUCUCCUGCAAGUAUCACUUAUUUUACAGCUCAUAAAAACCGAGACAAACUAAUCUCUUCAAACUUCAUGCCUUACAAAGACAAGUCUGAAUGAAGGACCGCCACAGGAAAAUCUUGUUUGCAAACCCCUAGAGAUAUUCUGUUACAACUCUAGGAGAGCAAAAUUUUUCAAGAAUGAAAAGCAGUCGUGUUCUUAAUCUGGGGCAGGUCAGUGUUCAGGGAACACUUCCUAGAACCAGAUAGAUUUAGAAAAUUAUUAUUGAAUAAACAUAUCUCUGGGUAGAAAAGAUGUCUGAGAUUAGUUGUAAAUAUCUUUAUAUUAGAUUGCAAACGGGAACAUUUCAAAAGAGAUUAAAACAACUAAACUCAACACUCCCCCACCCCCCUCCCUCAGUUUUAAAUGAAAAAUAAUUUUCUUAUUUCUAGCAAAUGAAGAACAAGUGUCUCUGCUCAUGUCUUCUAUGUCCUUCAAAUGUUUACACUUUUUUAAGUGUUCUUGGUAUUUAUAAGGAUUUUGAUUAAAACAUUAUUUCCUUGCCUUCUAGAUGUGAAAUUUCAUCCUUUUGAUUAAGGUUUUGAUGUUUCCCAUCAAAAAUAUGACCCAUUUUUGUUUAUGGAGAAUAAAAAUGAUGCUUAAGAUAUUAAAACUUAGCUUACCUUUUAACACUAUUUCCGUGAGAAUCAUACCAUUUCUUACCAAAACUGCUUGUGUCAGAUGACUGACAUACGGGCUAUUAGUAAGUGAAUUUAAUAGCAGAGAGUUGACAUUCUCUUACAAGUGAAGCAGAUUACACAGCUUGUGUAAACUUCACAAAACAGGUGACUCCCUGCAGUUUCAUUUCCAACCUUUGCUCCUUACCUCUAUUAUUCUUUCUUUGCCUACAAGAUAGUCUAUGGAUAUUCUCUGUCUUCAUAGUUACUGCCACCCUAUUCUUGCAAAUAAGAUAGUAAACUAUUUCAUCCUUUCUCUUCUAUCCAUAUUUCCCUUAUUUCUAUUUUUAA